rnacentral:lncRNA from 1 species
GGUGCAGCAAUAUAUUUAGAGAAGUGAGCUGCUGUUCAGCACACGGGCUCCUGGUUACUUUGGGACGCAGCCAGGGAGCCACGGCUCCAGCCCCAAGUCUCUUAGCAAGAGCCUCUAGUGGUUGGAGAAGAGGUGGAGUGGGGGAAUGGAGGAAACCAGAAGGAGGGAGGCUGAGGUGUGGGGGAGGAGAGCUUCUGGAGCAGCUGUUCUUGAAAACUCUGUGAUGUGGCGUUGGGAAGACUCUGAGAAGCUCCUGCGAAAGGCAGACCCACCCUGCCCGCUGCCGGGGGACGGUGCUUCCUGCCGCAGCAGCAGUCUCCAUGCUUGGUGGAUGUAAGGUCUGAAGCAGCAGCUUGGGGAGUCCUGGAACGGACUGUGGUGGGGUCCGAGAUACGAGGGAGCCCUGCCCGUUGUCCACAGCUGCCGCGCAGCUCUGGCUCACCAGCCGCAGCAGACAGGACAGGCUGGACUGUGGACGGUGGUGCAGCCUAGAACAGGCUGGGGGCUCUGCUGUAGCUCACAGAUGCCGAGGCCCAGCUCCCAUUCGGGGUCAUAAAAUUACACAGCAGUCCUGUGCUCUGAAUGGCUCCAGGACAACUCUGCCUCAGCAAUUUCCAGCGCAAAUUUGCUUUUUGUUUGAGUCUGGAAAUAACAGCGGCAGGUUCCCCAGGGCCCAGGAAUCCAGCCACUGGCUCCUCCUGGUUUCUCCUGUCUGUGAGCAAGAUGCAGCCAGGUGCAUAGGGUGGCACUGAGAUUAAGUGACAACGACCUGACUUGGCUACCCCACAGAUGCCAAGACGCCACUCAGAGAGGGUCAGCAAGGACCACCAGGCCUCUCCACACCUCCCCCUGAUCGCACGAGUGGCCUGAAUCCUCCAUGUGCAGCCGAGGGGAGUCUCUUCUUCCAAUUCCAGGCAGCUCUUGGUACUAACCCUGAAGCGGCGAUGACCUGAGCAGCCGCGGCUGGGUGCAGGUCACAUUUAGAGAUUUCUGGUGAGAAUCUUUGCCCAGCUUCCCCGCUCCCUUGGCUGUGGCUACCACCCUCCCUGCCCAAAGUCCGUUCCGAUAAUUCAAAUCCUUCCUCUUCUGCACCCGGCCUGGUUCCUCUUUCUGUCACUUAUGGCUUCGGCCUUUGCUCACCGGUUCCUUCCAAAUGUUCCCUCUCUGAAUCUAGCUGGGUCCUUUCCAUGCCUAGCUUGCAAACACGUCAGACCUGAUCCCUACCUGCAAGCCCCCAUCUCUCCCGGGGGACCAGGGAGCCCGGGUUUGACAGGUGCAAUGAUCCAGUGCACGUGAGUGCCAGAUGCCCACAGGGAACACCAGAGGCCAAGGUCUUCCUAGGACUGGCAGCUCCGGAUGGUUCCCAGGGCAGAAAUAACCUGAGCCUGCUGCCCUUUCCUUCUUGAGAGUGACUCAGCAAGAAGCUGGCAGACAGAAACACGAAUCUAGUCCUGGAUCUUGCAGUGGGGGUAGCAGGCAAGGCCAUGGCCUUAGACUGUGCAUGGAGAGAAACAGGCUAGACGCAGAGUUGGGUGCUGAAAAGAUGCUUAACCUCACUUAGAAUAAGAGAAGUCAAAUGAAAACUGCACCCAGACCCCGUUUUCCACCUAGCAGAUUUGCGAAGAUCAAAGGUUAGAUGCCUCGCUGAGCUGGCAAGCAUGGGAAAGGCGCUCUCAUGCUCUGCUGGCAGGAUGCUGAACCCACGCAGCCGCCGUGGAGGGCAACCGGCAAUCUACUACGCGCACAAAUCCUGUCACCCAGCAAUUCCACUUCUGGAAAUAUGACGUCCAGCUGGGAAUGCACAUUUGUGAAACGACCUAGGUGGCACUGUUGACAAGAAUGACAAGGGAUUGGAGAUGUCCUCCAUAGGGGACUGAUUCCACACUUAUGAUAUGCCCUGGUGAUGGAAUACAGUGGCCAGCACAAAGCAUUAAGACCUGGUGAACAGAUAUGAAGCGUGUCCCAGGGCUAACGCAAAGUGCAAAAACAAAAGCACAGCAAAGCAGGAGAGGAGCAGGCUGUGGGGCCGGCAGGCUUCAAUUCUCAAUGAAGAAAUGGACUGGCAUGCACCAUCUGGUCAAAAAGGCAAAAGAGAUGGGGCUGGCCCCAUGGCCGAGCGGUUAAGUUCGCGCGCUCCGCUGCAGGCAGCCCAGUGUUUCGUUGGUUCGAAUCCUGGGCACGGACAUGGCACUGCUCAUCCAACCACGCGGGGGCAGUGUCCCACAUGCCACAACUAGAAGGACCCACAACGAAGAAUAUACAACUAUGUACCCGGGGGCUUUGGGGAGAAAAAGGAAAAAAAUCUUUUAAAAAAAGGCAAAAGAGAAACAGCCUGUAUGCUCGUCUGGAUGGUGUGCUAAGGGAUAUCAUCUGGAUGGAGACCCCCCAAGACUGAUUUCAUCCACUAUACGGGAGCGUUUUCAUGAUAUACCUUUUUAUAAUUUUAAAUUUUUGAACUGUGUGAAUAGAUUACCUAUUGAAGAAGAAAAUACAUUUUAUUUUGUUUUAAGUUUAUUUUAUUUACUUUUUUUGAGGAAGAUUAGCCCUGAGCGAACAUCUCUGCCAAUCCUCCUCUUUUUGCUCAGGAAGACUGGCCCUGAACUAACCUCUAUGCCCAUCUUCCUGUACUUUAUAUGUGGGACGCCCACCACAGCAUGGCUUGCCAAGCGGUGCCAUGUCCGCACCCGGGAUCCGAACUGGUGAACCCCGGGCCAGCAAAGCAGAACGUGCAGACUCAACCACUGAGCAACUGGGCCGGCCUGAAAAUGCAGUUUAAAAUACGUGGGCCCCACCUCUGUAAUGGAAUGCAAUGACCCCAGAUCUUGAGCGACCAGCAAGUUCCGGGACAGAAGGAGGUGGUGGAAGGGAGAGAUUGUUCCGUCUUAAUUCACGUGGCGUGUUACCUUUUACAAAAUGCGUCACUUUUGUUGCCACAGCUAAUGCUCAGCACAGUCCCUUUCUUUUUAGAUGAAGAAAAGGAGGCUCAGAGAGGCAAAGUGAUCUUUCAGAAGCCACACAGCAAGUGGCUGAGCCAGGACUUGCAUCUAGGCUUUCCUCCUCACAUGUGUUUUUCUACCUCCCCCUGUGGCUGGAGAGCCCUGGGGGCUCAAGUCACUGCUGUCCCCUUUUCCACCUAGGACAUGAUCCAGGCUUCAGUGCACACUGGUCCAGGCACCAGCUGUGCUAUCAGGAUGAUGUCAAAUUCUGGGUCAGCUGCAUCCUCCCUGGGAGACUUUGGGGAAGUUGCUUGUUGGGCCAGCUCUCAGUUGCUUCAUCUGUGAGGCAAGAACAAUAGUGCUACCCACUUCAGAGCGUUGCGGUGAGAGUUUCAUGAGCUAAGGACCAAGAAAACAGUAGCCUAGAAGAACAAACGGGCCAGGCUUCCGGCAGGCAGCCCGGAGUCCCCCGGGGCUGGGGGUAGCAGGGGGCGCCCCCCUCCCCCUCCCCGCUGAGGGCUGCUGCUCGUCUUAGAAUCUCGCCAGAUCAAAAGGAAAGUGCUUUGCAUCGACUCCAGUGUUCGAUCUGCCCCGUCAGCCCGCCGGCCCAGCGUUCGCCCAAACGGACGUGCUUUCUCCUUCCCUCUCCUGCUCCUGCUCUGUCUUGUCCUUCCUGUGCCUGCUCUGGCUCCCCGCAACCUGGAGGCAACGGACCUGAGAUUCUGCACAGAGAUCCAGGCCAGCGCAGCCAGCAGAGACAGGAGGAUGGUCACGGCUGUCCCCUGCAGGAGCCCGGUUCUGCCUUCUCACCCCCGCCCCCACCUCCCUUAAAUAGCCAAGAUUUGUUUCCUUUGGAAAUUACGGUCAACCAGAAAAAGGUAAAUAGGAGGGAAGAAGGCAAAGAAAUGACAGUUUUUCCUCUUUCUUUCCCCACUAAAUAGGUUUGAACACAAGCCUUUAGCUAUGUAUCGUUUUCUUUUUAAAUAAGAUAAAAGUUUAGGGGCCAGCCCCAGUGGCCUAGUGGUUAAAUUCGGUGCAUUCCAGUUCAGGGGCCCGGGUUCAGUUCCCGGGUGUGGACCUAUACCGCUCGUCUGUCAGUGGCCAUGCUGUGGUGUGACCCACAUACAAAAUAGAGGAAGAUUGUCAAUGGAUGUUAGCUCAGGGUGAAUCCUCCUCAGCAAAAAAGAAAAAAAGAUAAAAGUUUAUUUCUGUCUCACAUGGUGGUCUGGAGGUGGGGGGUCUUGCCCGUCAGGGCCACUCUGCUCUGCUCCACCAAGUCUUUCAGAGAACUAGGUGCGGUCCCUCUCGCUGCUUGGCUGUCCCCCAAGAGACCCCAUCUGCAGGUGGAAGCUGAGUGCCUGCUGGGCAGCUCUGUGCCUCUACGCAAACUUUACAGUUUUACAGCCUAAAGUGCCUUUUGCAAAUGUUAAAGGGGUCUCCUUCAGGCAAGUGCACAUCUUGGUCAAAAGGAAGGUAGCUUUGCACGAAAAAAGGGGCACCCUCUCUAGACAGGUAAAUUAGAAAAAGACGCUCUAUCAUGGAGGAGGCAGCUGGGUGGGAGAGUGAUGAGGGGAACUGUAUUUCAUGUGAAAACAAAGGUACCCUUUCUUUUAAGUGGACGGAACUCACGGCUUAGUGAGCGGAGCAAGGAACCCACCAGUGUGUGGAUUUCAGCAGUUCUGGGGGCUGGGCAGUCUCAGACGGAGGCACAGCGUGGUCAGUUCUGGUGUGAGCCCACUUCCUGGCUCACAGUAGGUGACGUCUGCCGUGUCCUCACACAGUGGAAGGGACAUCACCCUUUAAAGAAAAAGGGGCCAGGGGCCGGCACGGUGGCGCAGUGGUUAAGUGCACACCUGCCGCUUCAGAGGCCUGGAGUUCGCCAGUUCGGAUCCCAGGUGUGGACAUGGCACCGCUUGGCAAGUCAGGCUGUGACAGACGUCCCACAUAUAAAGUAGAGGAAGAUGGGCAUGGAUGUUAGCUCAGGGCCAGUCUUCCCCAGAAAAAGAGGAGAAUUGGCGGCAGAUGUUAGCUCAGGGCUAAUCUUCCUCAAAAAAAAAAAAAGAAAGAGAGAAAACAUUAAUAAGCAGAACCCAUUUUCUUAAUUCAGUCUCCCCUUCCUUGUUCUUCUUAUUAAUAUUGUUUAUUUUUUUAAUUAACAUAUAGUAAACUGACUUGUUGCCUUUCUUUGGCUUUUUGGCAUUUAGAUUUGUGUGACGGCCACCGCAUUCAGGAUAAGAACAGGUCCACCGCCUCAAAACCCUCCCUCAAGCUUCCCUUUGGGGAGCCGCGCCCUCCCUCCCCACUCCCCACUCCCAACCCCCACCCCUGCCUGGCCACCGCCGUGUUUGUUCUCCGUCACUGCAGGUUGUCCUCUUGAGAAUGUCACGGAAGUGGAAUUCUAUGGUGUAAAUCCUACUGACUGGAGUUUUUCACUCAGAAGGUCUUUGAGAUUCAUCUCCAUUGUCGCACGCAUCAAUAGCUUCUUCUCUUUAUGACCGAGUGCUCUGCCAUUGUGUGGGUGGACCAGAGUUGGUUUAUCCAUUCAUUUGUUGAAGGACAUUUGGGUUGUUUUCAUUUUUUGGUGAUUAUGACUGGAGCUGCUAUAAAUAUUUGUGCACAGGUUUUUGUAUGAACAAAAAUUUUUAUUUCUCUAGGGCAGCGGUUCUCAACUGUAGGCAAUUUUGCCCCCCCAGGGGACAUUUGGCCAUGCCUGGAGACAUUUUCGAUUUUUACAAGUGGAGGGUGCUAUUUGCUUCUGGUGGAUAGAGGUCAGGGAUGCUGCUAAACAUCCUACAGUGCAUAGAACAGCCCCACGAUAAAGAACGAGCUGGUCUGAACAUCCACAGCGCUGUGAUCGAGAAACCCUGCCCUGGGGUAAAUACACAGGACCAAGAUUGUUGGGUCCUAUGGUAUGUGUAUGUGUGACUUCAUACAAAAUUGCCAAACUGUCUUCCAGAAUGACUUUACCAUUUUGCAUUCCCGCCAACAACGUAUGGGAGUUGUAGGGGCUUCACAUCUUAGGCAGAGCUUGAUGUUGUCAGUCUUUUUAAUUUCAGCCAUUCUAAUAGGUGUGUAGUGGUAUCUCAUUAUGCUUUUAAUUUGCGUUUCCCUAGUGGCUGACAAUGUGCUUAUUCACCAUCUGUAUAACCUCUCUGGUGAAGUGUCUAAGUCUUUUGCCAAUUUUUUAAUUAGGUUGUUUGUUUUCUUAUUGUUGAGUUUUGAGAGUUCUUUAUAUACUGUGGCUCUAUCUAUGAGAAAUCUAUCCUUUGUCAAAUAUGUGAUUUGCAUCUUGUCUUUCCACUCUCUCAACAAUGUCUUUUGCAGAGCAAAAGUUUUAAUUUUGCUGAAGUCCAACUUGUCAUCCUUUUCCUCUUUUGUGCUUUGGUGUCAUGUCUAAGAACUCUUUGCCUAACUCCAGGUCAUGAAGAUUUUCUCCUAAAAGUUUUGUAAUUUUACAUUUAGAUCUAUGAUCCAUUUUGAGUGAACUGUGAAGUUCAGGUUGAGGGCUCUUUUUUUUUGGUAUAUGAAUGUCCAAUUAUUCCAGCACCAAGAGCUGAAAAGACCAUCCUUCACCAUUGAAUUACUUUUGCUCCUUUGUCAAAAAUCAGUUGGGCCUCUUUGUGGUUGAUCUGUUUCUGGGUUCUGUUCUGUCCCAUUGACUGACGAUGUGUACCAACUUGCCAAUAUCUAUUGUCUCAGUUACUGUAGCUUUAUUUAUUUAUUCGUUUAUCUAUUUUUAUUUAUUUUGGGGGGGGGGAAGAUUAGCCCUGAGAUAACACCUGCUGCCAAUCCUCCUCUUUUUGCUGAGGAAGACUGGCCCUGAGCUAACAUCCGUGCCCAUCUUCCUCUACUUUAUAUGUGGGACGCCCACCACAGCACAGCUUGCCAAGCGGUGCCAUGCCCGCACCCGGGAUCCGAACUGGCGAACCCCGGGCCGCCGAGAAGUGGAACGUGCACACUUAACCGCUGUGCCACCGGGCCGGCCCCCAGGUCCUCUAUUCUUGCUGCUAGAACAGGGGCAAAGAAUUUGAUUUCUUCAGACCCCAUUUCGCUUGUCUGUAAAGUGGCAACUUCGCUAUCUGACCCGCCCAUCUCAUGGAAUUGCAGCAAUACUCUAACGACCAAGCACAGAAAACAUCUGGGAAGUGACAGCCCAAACUGGCAUCUCUAGGGAAUGGGAUGGGGGCGGCGAGUGGAGAAGGGGGGUCAUGGGGACAUCAUUCAUCUUCAAACAACUCUGAUCUUGUUUCAAAAUUUUAACAAGUAUGAAUUCCUUUUGUGAUUAAAAGAAAGUUUGUAAAUGUUCA